rnacentral:rRNA from 1 species
UGAUGGAAAGUUGAAAAGAACUUUGAAGAGAGGGUUCAACAGUACGUGAAACCGCCACGGGAAAAAACGGAUGGGGCCUCGAAGCGGUGAAAGCGGCUGGAAUUCAGCGGUGCCGGGCUCGGGCCACGCAGCGAAUGUAUCGAUUGCAAAGCGAAUCGCUGUGUGUGCUUCGCCUGCGCACGGUGCACUUUCCUGUCGCAUGACGCUGCGACCGGUCGACGAGUCGCCAACGGUGCUCGCUUUACUGUCCGUCGGACUCAUCUCCCUAGUGGGUUGUCCGACGGUUGGCGAGUUGCCGGCGGUCUCGCGACGACCGUUGUCGAAAAGCCAGGCGCCCGCGUUCAACGCGUCAGCAGAACUCUGACGGCGGCGCCGCGCUCCGCAGCGAGUAGGUCGGCGACCCAUCCGACCCGUCUUGAAACACGGACCAAGGAGUCUAACAUGUGCGCGAGCGAUUGGGUGUCGCACGAGACCCAAACGCGCAAUGAAAGUGAAGGCCUCGGAUUGCCGGGCCGAGGGGCGAUCCGGUCGCAAUUUGCGCGGCCAGCGCAGCCCCGGGACGCGCCGAUCUCAUAGUAGACGGCUCGUACCCCGAGCGUACACGUUGGGACCCGAAAGAUGGUGAACUAUGCCUGGCCAGGACGAAGUCAGAGGAAACUCUGAUGGAGGUCCGUAGCGAUUUUGACGUGCAAAUCAAUCGUCCGAGCUGGGUAUAGGGGCGAAAGACUAAUCGAACCAUCUAGUAGCUGGAUCCAUCCGAAGUUUCCCUCAGGAUAGCUGGCGCUCGCANGACCGAGUUUCAUCCGGUAAAGCGAAUGAUUAGAGGCCUUGGGGCCGAAACGANCUCAACCUAUUCUCAAACUUUAAAUGGGUGAGAAGUCGGGCUUGCUCGACUGAAGCACCGACCNUNGAAUCNAGAGUGCCAAGUGGGCCACUUUUGGUAAGCAGAACUGGCGCUGUGGGAUGAACCAAACGCAGAGUUAAGGUGCCCGAGAGAACGCUCAUCAGAUCCCAUGAAAGGUGUUGGUUGCUAUAGACAGCAGGACGGUGGCCAUGGAAGUCGGAA